UUUAUUUUUCUUUUUCUUUUAAAAAAUCUCUUUCUUCCACUCUCCUUCGCGUGCAACACAGCCCCUAUCUCUUUCUUCUCUGUCGACCAGAAGCUGCAACUUUAGUCGCCCAUGACCCACGACCGCCCCGUUGAGCCCCAGCCGCUCAGCUUCCAUGCCACUACUGGACGUCCGCCAAUCACGCCAAACCUCUCUCUCCACUGUGUUUUCGUUAGUUGCAUGGGUUGCGACUUCGUCCAGCCGUACGCCGUCCCUCGCGUCCUCGCCUAGUCAAGUCGUUCAGCCCUCGUCCUCCGCAUUGAAUCAGCCGGCAAAGCUAGAUCUGAAGCGUCGUCUCCCGUUCGCUUGCCGCGCCUAGACCAUGAAGUCGUCGGACCUGCCAGAUCCGUCCGUCCCACCUCAUCGUUCGCGACCCGACGCCGCCUUUCCUACAGUCAACCAGAUCCAACUUCCCCAGUUGCACAUCGCUCACGGGCACGCUCUAGUCGUCCGCCGCUGCUUCUCCACCCAGUCUCGCGCGCUGUUUUCGUCGGGUUAAUGCCGCCGCCGUUGACUUCGAUUCAAUUUUCGGGGAGAAUCUUGAGGUUUUCAGGUGUUUUCGUUGUGGGUGAUUUACGUUUGAUCCUGUGGGUUUUCGGUCUCGAUGGGCAAGGAAGGGCUUAAGCUUGCUAGUUUGUAAGGUUUGCAAUUAGAGGUAAGUAAUCUUACAACUGGAAUUGCCCACGUGCCAGGUAAUGUAGUUAUGAUUUACUGAGAAUUUGAUGAUGGUUUGAUGUUUAUGUAUGCCUUGCUAAUAUGAGGAUUUAAAAGACUAGAUGUGCAUAAAGAUAUUUGAAUGCUAGCAUGAUUUGAGUAUAUUAUUAUUCUAUGAGAUUCUAUUUCAUCUGAGAAUGAUGAGAUGUAUAUGUAUGUUAUGGGACUAUGAUGACGAGAUGUAUAUGUGUGUUAUAGAAUUAUGAUGAUGAGAUGUAUAUGUAUUAUAUAGAACUAUGAUAAUGAGAUGUAUAUGUAUGUUAUAGAACCAUGUUAUGAUACUUGUGAUGCUGUAAUCGCGAUAGUAUCCUCACUGUUAGUUAGAUGCUCACUAGAGGUUGUGUGUCUUUCGGGAUUCACUAGAGGUGGUGCUUUCCUUCGGGAUUCACCAGAGAUUGUGUGUCCUUCGGGAUUAACUAGAGGUGGUGGUUUCCUUGGGCAUCCAUUAGAGAUUGUGUUUCCUUUGGGAUUUACUAAAGGUGGUGGUUUCCUUUGGGAUCCAUUAAAGGUUGUGUUUUCUUCAGGAUUCACUAGAAGUGGUGUUUUCUUCGGGAUUCACGAGAGGUUGUGGGUCCUACGGGACUUACUAGAGGUUGUGAGUAUACUUAACUACAGUAGGAUGAAGUUCAGUAAUUCAUGUAUGAAUGUGUCCCAUGAGGACUAUGGGAGUGCUUAGUCCCACCAGAGCUAGGCAUCUAGAGGACAUAGAUGCCUAGCCUGACUCCAGUAGUGGGGUUAGUUAUUAAGUAUUUUAUACUCACCCUUUCUCAUGUUUAUAUUUUAGGUAAGGGCAGGGACGCGCUGGCGAAUGACAAGAGGAAUUCAUGAAUGACCCACUGAGGAUCAAUUUUAUGCUUCUGCUCAUGAUAUUUAGAUUUCUUUUCAUAUUUUUCAACUUUCAGUUUUGAUGUUUGAAACUUACUAUUAAGAUUUGUUUUUAGACCUAUUUAUUAUCAUUAAUGAUUUAUGGAUACUCUAUCAUUUGUUUUUAAUGUUUGAAUUUAAUAGA